rnacentral:lncRNA from 1 species
GGUCAGUUUAAACCGAUUUCAGUUUUUUUUUUAAAUUUGAUUUGGUUAAUUUUUAGAUAAAAACCAAAUUGAAUAGAAAAUAAUCAUCCCUACAGAUAACUCACUUUUAGCAAGUUAGCUCAUCGUCACAUGUUUUUCUUUACGAGUUUUUUCAAUCCAGAGACAAUCAACAUGGAAUCCUGUUUUAACUCAAAAUUUAUAUUUUACGAGUUUCUUCUUCUUCUUCUAUUUUUAAUUCCUUUAGAUCUAUAGUGAUCAGUAAUUAAGAAAGUAUUUAGAAGAUCAGUAAUUAAGAAAGUAUUUAGAAGAAUAUUAGUGAUUAUUUUUUAUUAGAAGAAUAUUAUUUUUUUGCGUAUAUUUUUA